rnacentral:lncRNA from 1 species
CAUAUCGAACUGGCCCCGAUGCGGAGGAUUUACGAACUUUGGCCGCUCAAAAAGUCACAUCCAUUUCAGACAUCCAGAAGGGACCCCAGAAGUGGCACCUGCCCCACCUGGGGACAUCUAGGAGAGUGGCUUCCGGCCGCCUGUGGCUGUUGAGAGUAAGCCACCCUGAGCCUGCACCAAGGACUAAGGACCCUGCGCCUGACUCCCGGGGUCUGCCUCAGUUCUGGAGGUGAAGACACUGUCCGUACAGAGGUUAGAACAAGUAUUGGGAGAUGAAAUAAAGCCACCCACUUGGGUCCCAAACUCUAUGGACACUGCGUGAGAUAGAGAUCGCCGUCCUGUUCCUGUUAUUGAUGAAAGACCAUCAGGCAGAGCAGAUACAAUGUUACCAUCUGCCUCCACGCCCCACCACACCUCCGUGGUGAUGGACUGGCAGUAUCCUAAUACUAAGAUGGCGCAUGCCAUCCCUGCGAGUCUCUGAAAAAAACUUCCCUUUGCUCGACAACAGAGAAAUGCACACUCAUCAUCUCAGCGUUUCAGUCAGUGCGACUGACCCACAGCCUACGACGGGCAGCCGCGGACACGGCCCUCUGCUCUGGUUCCUUCACCAAAAAUAAAAUAAGUGACUCCGAGUGCUUGGCCGGUAGCCAAAGACCUCUCAGGUUCAAUUCUUCAUCUGCUUUCGAGAGUUAAUUACAGAGAGGGGGCAUGCUAAGCAAGAGCUCUUUGUGUUCACAGUGAAAUAAUGACUUAGUCACCCCUGAGACUACAGAGGCUCUGGACUUCAGCUCUGCACAGCAAGCACAAAUCCCAACCUGAUAGCAUGUGACUUUCUUUUUCAAAUGAAUCAGACUUUAUGAAUAGACAGCGUCUUUUCCUCCCCUCACCCUCUAGCCCGACCGUGCCGAUUAGCGUAUUUUCUGCUUUUCUAGUUGAGUUGACUCACCAGUCCCUUUAAGAGCCUGCUAGCUUGCGUGCUUCCUCCUGACAGGAUGCGGGGUACCCUGUCUGCACACUUGCUGAUUGUAUAGCAUACCUUUGCCACUGUUGUUUUUUGUUAUUAUUGUUGUUGUUGUUUUGAUUCAAUAAAGUUUUAUUUUCCCAAAUGCA